AAGCAGUAUUUAUAUAGUAGAGGAAAAAAUUGGAAACACCCAGCAAUAGGGAAAUGCUUACCCCUGCUGAGAGUAAGUGUUUCCUACAAUCUCUGUCUGACUCAUUUCUGUAGUAAGACAGGGAUGCUUGGUCUCAAACAU
rnacentral:snoRNA from 1 species